GGGGGCUUCGAGCUUCACUCCAACCCCUGUGACAUACCUUACUGUUGCCUCGGCGGAUCAGCCCGCUCCCGGUAAAACGGGACGGCCCGCCAGAGGACCCCUAAACUCUGUUUCUAUAUGUAACUUCUGAGUAAAACCAUAAAUAAAUCAAAACUUUCAACAACGGAUCUCUUGGUUCUGGCAUCGAUGAAGAACGCAGCAAAAUGCGAUAAGUAAUGUGAAUUGCAGAAUUCAGUGAAUCAUCGAAUCUUUGAACGCACAUUGCGCCCGCCAGUAUUCUGGCGGGCAUGCCUGUUCGAGCGUCAUUUCAACCCUCAAGCCCUCGGGUUUGGUGUUGGGGAUCGGCGAGCCUUUCUGGCAAGCCGGCCCCGAAAUCUAGUGGCGGUCUCGCUGCAGCCUCCAUUGCGUAGUAGUAAAACCCUCGCAACUGGAACGCGGCGCGGCCAAGCCGUUAAACCCCCAACUUCUGAAUGUUGACCUCGGAUCAGGUAGGAAUACCCGCUGAACUUAAGCAUAUCAAAAGCCGGAGGAA
rnacentral:rRNA from 1 species